UCCUGUGUGGCUGACUUGGUAGAGCAUGGCGCUUGCAACGCUAGCAUUGUGGGUUCGAUUUCCACUCGGGAC
rnacentral:tRNA from 1 species